rnacentral:rRNA from 1 species
GAUGAACGCUGGCGGCGUGCCUAAUACAUGCAAGUCGAGCGAACAGACGAGGAGCUUGCUCCUCUGACGUUAGCGGCGGACGGGUGAGUAACACGUGGAUAACCUACCUAUAAGACUGGGAUAACUUCGGGAAACCGGAUCUAAUACCGGAUAAUAUAUUGAACCUCAUGGUUCAAUAGUGAAAGACGGUUUUGCUGUCACUUAUACAUGGAUCCGCGCCGCAUUAGCUAGUUGGUAAGGUAACGGCUUACCGAGGCAACGAUGCGUAGCCGACCUGAGAGGGUGAUCGGCCACACUGGAACUGAGACACGGUCCAGACUCCUACGGGAGGCAGCAGUAGGGAAUCUUCCGCAAUGGGCGAAAGCCUGACGGAGCAACGCCGCGUGAGUGAUGAAGGUCUUCGGAUCGUAAAACUCUGUUAUUAGGGAAGAACAAAUGUGUAAGUAACUAUGCACGUCUUGACGGUACCUAAUCAGAAAGCAACGGCUAACUACGUG